rnacentral:lncRNA from 1 species
UCAACAAAGUCAAACAUUCAUGUUUUUUGGCAUUUUCAUGUUCACAUAUUUAUUCCAUGUUAAAUAAAAUAAAAAUCAAAAUGAAAAUCAAAAUGGAAGUUUAAAAUAAAACAUGAAAAAAAAUCACCUUUCUUAAAAGGAAAAACACAAAUGGGGGAGAUGGGAUUCGAACCCCUCCCCUUGGCAAUUCAACUCAACGCGCCCACCACUGGGCUGUGAGUCGCUUGGUGACAUAAGCUUGCUUCCAAGUCAAAAUAAAC